rnacentral:snoRNA from 1 species
AUGCCAUGAUGGGGGCAUUCUCUUUGAUACUCUUUAAACCUCUCCCAAGUAUCAUAUAGGGUCUCAUCUUGCUUUUUUGAUGGGAUCCUUGAAUCU